GUGGAUUAGAUACCCCGGUAGUCCUAGCCGUAAACGAUGGACACUAGGUGUUGGUGGUAUCAACCCCACCAGUGCCGAAGCUAACGCAUUAAGUGUCCCGCCUGGGGAGUACGGCCGCAAGGCUAAAACUCAAAGGAAUUGACGGGGCCCCGCACAAGCAGCGGAGCGUGGGGUUUAAUUCGAUGCAACGCGAAGAACCUUACCAGGGCUUGACAUGACCAGGAAUCCGGCGGAAACGUCGGCGCCCCGCAAGGGGCCUGGCCACAGGUGUUGCAUGGCUGUCGCCAGCU
rnacentral:rRNA from 1 species